rnacentral:rRNA from 1 species
AACGAACGCUGGCGGCAUGCCUAACACAUGCAAGUCGAACGAGACCUUCGGGUCUAGUGGCGCACGGGUGCGUAACGCGUGGGAACCUGCCCUUAGGUUCGGAAUAACUCCCCGAAAGGGGUGCUAAUACCGGUUAAUGUCUUCGGACCAAAGAUUUAUCGCGUUUGGAUGGGCCCGCGUUGGAUUAGCUAGUUGGUAGGGUAAAAGCCUACCAAGGCGACGAUCCAUAGCUGGUCUGGGAGGAUGAUCAGCCACACUGGGACUGAGACACGGCCCAGACUCGUACGGAAGGCAGCAGUUGGGAAUAUUGGACAAUGGGCGAAAGCCUGAUCCAGCAAUGCGGCGUGAGAGAUGAAGGCCUUAGGGUUGUAAAGCUCUUUUACCCGGGAUGAUAAUGACAGUAACGGGAGAAUAAGCUCCGGCUAACUACGUG